rnacentral:ncRNA from 2 species
GGGGAAGCCGGUGGGAAUCCGGCGCUGACCUGCAACCGUGAACGCGCCCGGCGCCGCGAGUCGGAGUACCC